UUGUCUACUCAGCAGGAAAUGGAUUGUAUUUCUGUAUCAUAUUUACUGGAGGAACAGCCAGCUGAAGAGUGAUAUUUGCUGUUGUGCAGCCUGAAACUGGGAAGUCAUGCAGAAAAUCAAGGUUAGAAGUUUUACCUCAUGUUCAAAAAAUGCGUCUUCCAGUGUCUUUUCUCCAGUGCCACUCCCUACACCUUCAAACACAGCUUUGUAUUCCUAAAAGCACAGACAACCACUCCAUGGAAAUAAGUGCAAUCAGAUCACUGUAAAAAAUACUUCCUGCAAUCUGGGGAAUCCACUGUGAAAGAAAGAUGAUAAAGAUUUUGAAGAGAAUAUGCCAAGAAGUACCAUUGAUGGAUUGGAGUAUGUAUAAACUUCAAAGAGACUAUUGUAAGAGCAGUGACCUGGGUGCUAAGAUUUGUAAAAUACUUUGAAAAUGCG